ACGGGAGGCAGCAGUGGGGAAUAUUGCACAAUGGGGGAAACCCUGAUGCAGCGACGCCGCGUGAAGGAAGAAGUAUCUCGGUAUGUAAACUUCUAUCAGCAGGGAAGAUAAUGACGGUACCUGACUAAGAAGCCCCGGCUAACUACGUGCCAGCAGCCGCGGUAAUACGUAGGGGGCAAGCGUUAUCCGGAUUUACUGGGUGUAAAGGGAGUGUAGGUGGUCAGGCAAGUCAGAUGUGAAAGCCCGCGGCUCAACCGCGGGACUGCAUUUGAAACUGUCUGACUGGAGUGCAGGAGAGGAAAGUGGAAUUCCUAGUGUAGCGGUGAAAUGCGUAGAUAUUAGGAGGAACACCAGUGGCGAAGGCGGCUUUCUGGACUGUAACUGACACUGAGGCUCGAAAGCGUGGGGAGCAAACAGGAUUAGAUACCCUGGUA
rnacentral:rRNA from 1 species